AGUUGCUAGCCCCUAACUUGCCAGCCAAGGGGAUCUUCAGCUUGCAUUCGAUUGCGAUUGAUAGCUAGUAGGUGGGCUAACGCUACCUAGCGACGAUCCUAGCUUGUCUGAGAGGAUGACAGCACACUUGACUGAGACAUGUUCAGACUCUACGGAGGCAGCAGUGGGGAAUAUUGCACAAUUGACGCAGCCUGAUGCAGCAUGCCGCGUGUAUGAAGAAUUCUUCGGGUUGUAACGUACUUUCAGCGGGGAGGAAGGGAGUAAAGUUAAUACCUUUGCUCAUUGACGUUACCGCAGAAGAAGCACCGGCUAACGCGUGCCAGCAGCGCGGUAAUACGAGGGUGCAAGCGUUAAUCGGAAUUACUGGGCGUAAAGCGUACGCAGGCGGUUUGUUAAGUCAGAUGUGAAAUCCCCGGGCUCAACCUGGGAACUGCAUCUGAUACUGGCAAGCUUGAGUCUCGUAGAGGGGGGUAGAAUUCCAGGUGUAGCGGUGAAAUGCGUAGAGAUCUGGAGGAAUACCGGUGGCGAAGGCGGCCCCCUGGACGAAGACUGACGCUCAGGUGCGAAAGCGUGGGGAGCAAACAGGAUUAGAUACCCUGGUAGUCCACGCCGUAAACGAUGUCGACUUGGAGGUUGUGCCCUUGAGGCGUGGCUUCCGGAGCUAACGCGUUAAGUCGACCGCCUGGGGAGUACGGCCGCAAGGUUAAAACUCAAAUGAAUUGACGGGGGCCCGCACAAGCGGUGGAGCAUGUGGUUUAAUUCGAUGCAACGCGAAGAACCUUACCUGGUCUUGACAUCCACGGAAGUUUUCAGAGAUGAGAAUGUGCCUUCGGGAACCGUGAGACAGGUGCUGCAUGGCUGUCGUCAGCUCGUGUUGUGAAAUGUUGGGUUAAGCCCCGCAACGAGCGCAACCCUUAUCCUUUGUUGCCAGCGGUCCGGCCGGGAACUCAAAGGAGACUGCCAGUGAUAAACUGGAGGAAGGUGGGGAUGACGUCAAGUCAUCAUGGCCCUUACGACCAGGGCUACACACGUGUUACAAUGGCGCAUACAAAGAGAAGCGACCUCGCGAGAGCAAGCGGACCUCAUGAAGUGCGUCGUAGUCCGGAUUGGAGUCUGCAACUCGACUCCGUGAAGUCGGAAUCGCUAGUAAUCGGGAUCAGAAUGUCAGCGUAAUCUUGG
rnacentral:rRNA from 1 species